rnacentral:lncRNA from 1 species
GGCAACAGAAGCAGGAGUGUCACUGGCUGCCAGAUCACUGAGGGUCCCACAAUGUGGCCCGGGCUGUGAUUUACCUGGGUGAGACAGCUUGAGUCCCCAUCCUGGAUUCUAAGACAUCCCUGCUGAGAGAGCCCAGGUAGCAGAGUUUUGCUCACUCACCACUGAAGAUGUUGCCGGUUCCCAGCUAGAGGGAGGAAGCCACUGUAGAGCUAAAGGACGGUGCAAUGUAGCAGGACAACUCAUGGAGCCCCCCCGGGCCCAUCGAGUACCAGACUGGCUGACCCCGUAGGGUUGGC